AUUGAACGCUGGCGGCAGGCCUAACACAUGCAAGUCGAACGGUAACAGGAAGAAGCUUGCUUCUUUGCUGACGAGUGGCGGACGGGUGAGUAAUGUCUGUGAAACUGCCUGAUGGAGGGGGAUAACUACUGGAAACGGUAGCUAAUACCGCAUAACGUCGCAAGACCAAAGAGGGGGACCUUCGGGCCUCUUGCCAUCGGAUGUGCCCAGAUGGGAUUAGCUAGUAGGUGGGGUAACGGCUCACCUAGUCGACGAUCCCUAGCUGGUCUGAGAGGAUGACCAGCCACACUGGAACUGAGACACGGUCCAGACUCCUACGGGAGGCAGCAGUGGGGAAUAUUGCACAAUGGGCGCAAGCCUGAUGCAGCCAUGCCGCGUGUAUGAAGAAGGCCUUCGGGUUGUAAAGUACUUUCAGCGGGGAGGAAGGGAGUAAAGUUAAUACCUUUGCUCAUUGACGUUACCCGCAGAAGAAGCACCGGCUAACUCCGUG
rnacentral:rRNA from 1 species